ACCUCCUCCCCUUCCCCCAACACACCUGCUGCAAUUAAUCAGCUCAUUAACAGACACAGGUAGAGUUACAGCAGGAACUGCACCGUUUGCAUUUGUGCAGUUUGAGUUAAACACUGUAUUAAAGCCUAAAAACAUGCAGAUACAGCGAAUUUAACACUGGAAGCCAAUAAAGAUCAGUAAGUAAAGAGGAGAGCAGGCCAGCCAGCCAGCCUACAGGAUCGAAAUGAACUGUACCAGCAGCCAGAGGAGCGGCUAAAAGGCUACAACCUAAUGCUAAAGCUAAUGCUAGCCUGAGAACCAGCGAACCGGGAAACUAUCAUUUCUCCAGCUGGAUUAACACAAACCCUACUGCCGAGAAGACCCAAACGAACAAAACAACGAUUAACGAGAUCUCUGGAUUCUACCAAUGAGGUGUGGAGCUACUUUGAGCUGGAUAACGAUGGAAAAAGUGAUGCCCACUUACUGGAUCUCGGAAAGCUGUAGGAGAGCAGAGGUGUGCUAUUCAACAAAGGAAAUCAAGGGAGCAGAGUCUGGAGGAAGAGUGGAGAGACGCACAGUCCAAACUGCUUGAAGUUUCCACCAGUCAGUGAUGGUUUGGAGAAACAUUUCAGACAUCUGCUGGGUGUGGUGGUGGAGCUCCGGGGGGGUGAGCCGCGGUCGGUGACCAGGACGCUGAAGCUGUACUCGGGACGCUCGGCGUGGGUCAGCUGACUGGAGGAGUGCAGCUCGCCUGUGAUUGGGUGCAGAGAGAAACGCUCUGCUCUGGGACCUGCCCACAAAACAAACAAACAAACAAACGUGUUAUUUUUUACUAUUCUCACUAUUCUUUCUGCCAUCACUGUUUAGGGGGCAACUAUACCCAAUUUGAUCUCAAUGUACUGUUCUGCAUUAAGGGGGCAUUAAACUACCUGAUUUUUUGCUGACUUCACUCUCAGCUCAAAUUUAAAAAAGCCUAAAAAUGGGUACUGGGUGAUGUAUGGGUUUAGGGCCGGGGCAGUGUGCCUCUAAUAGUCGUAGCCUUUUGUUUUUAGAAUGCCAAUGCAGGAUGCUUUAACACUUUGUGCUUUUAUCUUUUUUCUGAUAGGUUGUUAUUGUGUCACAGUUGGAUGAAAAUGG